rnacentral:rRNA from 1 species
GUAACGCGUGAGCAACCUACCUCUAUCAGGGGGAUAGCCUCUCGAAAGAGAGAUUAACACCGCAUAACAUCAACAGUUCGCAUGUUCGGUUGAUUAAAUAUUUAUAGGAUAGAGAUGGGCUCGCGUGACAUUAGCUAGUUGGUAGGGUAACGGCUUACCAAGGCGACGAUGUUUAGGGGCUCUGAGAGGAGAAUCCCCCACACUGGUACUGAGACACGGACCAGACUCCUACGGGAGGCAGCAGUAAGGAAUAUUGGUCAAUGGGCGGAAGCCUGAACCAGCCAUGCCGCGUGCAGGAUGACUGCCCUAUGGGUUGUAAACUGCUUUUGUCCAGGAAUAAACCUAAAUACGUGUAUUUAGCUGAAUGUACUGGAAGAAUAAGGAUCGGCUAACUCCGUGCCACCAGCCGCGGUAAUACGGAGGAUCCGAGCGUUAU